GUCCAGGGGCGGGAAUCGAACCCACGACCUUCCGAUUACCGGGCAGAUGCCAUGUCCACUAGGCUACCCUGGA
rnacentral:tRNA from 1 species